GACGAACGCUGGCGGCGUGCUUAACACAUGCAAGUCGAACGAAGUGGCGAACGGGUGAGUAACGCGUACUCAACCUGCCCUUCAGCGGGGGACAACAGUUGGAAACGACCGCUAAUACCGCAUACUGAAGGAGGGGAUUGCGUCUGAUUAGCUAGUUGGAGGGGUAACGGCCCACCAAGGCGAUGGUCAGUAGCCGGGCUGAGAGGAUGAACGGCCACAUGGGGACUGAGACACGGCCCAGACUCCUACGGGAGGCAGCAGUGGGGAAUCUUCCGCAAUGGACGAAAGUCUGACGGAGCAACGCCGCGUGAGUGAUGACGGCCUUCGGGUUGUAAAGCUCUGUUAAUCGGGACGCGGUACCGGAAUAGAAAGCCACGGCUAACUACGUGCCAGCAGCCGCGGUAAUUC
rnacentral:rRNA from 1 species